AACGAACGCUGGCGGCAGGCUUAACACAUGCAAGUCGAACGCCCCGCAAGGGGAGUGGCAGACGGGUGAGUAACGCGUGGGAAUCUACCUAGUUCUACGGAACAACUGAGGGAAACUUCAGCUAAUACCGUAUACGCCCUACGGGGGAAAGAUUUAUCGGAAUUAGAUGAGCCCGCGUAAGAUUAGCUAGUUGGUGGGGUAAUGGCCUACCAAGGCGACGAUCUUUAGCUGGUCUGAGAGGAUGAUCAGCCACACUGGGACUGAGACACGGCCCAGACUCCUACGGGAGGCAGCAGUGGGGAAUAUUGGACAAUGGGCGCAAGCCUGAUCCAGCCAUGCCGCGUGAGUGAUGAAGGCCUUCGGGUUGUAAAGCUCUUUUGGCGGGGACGAUGAUGACGGUACCCGCAGAAUAAGCCCCGGCUAACUUCGUGCCAGCCGCCGCGGUAACAC
rnacentral:rRNA from 1 species